GAUGAACGCUGGCGGCGUGCCUAAUACAUGCAAGUCGAGCGAGAACCUUUGGAUUCGUCUGAGGGUGACAGCGGCGAACGGGUGAGUAACACGUGGGUGACCUGCCCUGAAGACGGGGACAACCUUCGGAAACGGAGGCUAAUACCCGAUGUGCUCGGUAAUUCGAUUUAUCGAGUAAAGCUCCGGCGCUUCAGGAUGGGCCUGCGGCCUAUCAGCUAGUUGGUGAGGUAAUGGCUCACCAAGGCUAAGACGGGUAGGGGACGUGAGAGCGUGGACCCCCACAUUGGCACUGAGAUACGGGCCAGACUCCUACGGGAGGCAGCAGUCGGGAAUAUUGCACAAUGGGCGAAAGCCUGAUGCAGCGACGCCGCGUGGGCGAUGAAGGCCUUCGGGUUGUAAAGCCCUUUUAUGGGGGAAGAGAUCAAGGACGGUACCCCA
rnacentral:rRNA from 1 species